UCGAUAUAACUUGAUAUGAAUAUAUUUACAUUUCUAUUUAUGUUUAUUAUUCUAAUUUUUGUUGAAUUAAAUAUUAUUUUGUUAUUGUAUUUAUUGAAGAUUAAAUUUUUUUUGUUAUAGUUUAAUUGUACUGUGAAGGUUUAAUUAAAUAUAUUUUAUAUUUUUAGAAGUUGAUUUAAUUUAUUGUACCUUGUGUAUCAGGGUUUAUUAAUAUAUUAAUAUUUAUUUUAUUAAUCCCGAUUUUAGGAGAGUUAAGCAAGUAUUUUAUUUACUGUGAAAUAAUUAUUAAUAAUAUUUGCUUAGUUGUGAAAUGUUAAUCGUUCUUAAAUGUAUCUGGUUUUCUGGGAAAUGAAUUUAAUUCAUUUAUUGAUUUUAUACAAUUUUAUUUUAUAAUUUGUAUUAAGUUAAUAUUAAUACCUUGGGAGAUAAGUUUUGAGGUAAAAAUAUUUAUAAAUUAUUUUAGUUUUUAUAAGUUUAUUGGAUUUAGAAGUGAUUAUUAUGUUGAAGAAUGUUAAAAUUUGACUUAUUUAAUUAUAUAUUUAUAUUUUGUUUUUAGAUUUAUUAUUGGAAAUUUUUAAUUAAUUUUUUAUUAGUUGUUAUAAUGAUAAAAUUAGUAUAAUUUGUUAAAUAUUUUUAAAUUAAGGUUUAUAAAAAAAGUUAAGGAAUUAGGCAAAAUUUUAAUAUGUUCGCCUGUUUAACAAAAACAUCUCUUCUUGUUUUAUAUUGGAAGUAUAACCUGCCCACUGAAUUUAAUUGAAGGGCCGCGGUAUUUUGACCGUGCAAAGGUAGCAUAAUCAUUAGUCUCUUAAUUAGAGGCUGGAAUGAAUGGUUGGACGAAAUAUAUACUGUCUUAUUUUUUAUUAUUGAAUUUAAUUAUUAAGUAAAAAAGCUUAAAUGUUAUUGUGGGACGAGAAGACCCUAUAGAGUUUAAUAGUUAUUAAUAUAUUUUUGGUUUGAUAUAAUCUUUAUUUUUAUAAUUAUUUUGUUGGGGUGAUGGGAAGAUAUAAUUAACUCUUUCUUUUGUUGUAUAUUGAUUUAUAUUUAUUUGAUCCAUUAUUAAUGAUUAUAAGUCAAAAUUACCUUAGGGAUAACAGCGUAAUCUUUUUUGAGAGUUCAUAUCGACAAAAAGGAUUGCGACCUCGAUGUUGGAUUAAGAUAAAUAUUAGGUGUAGAAGCUUAAUAUAUUAGGUCUGUUCGACCUUUAAAAUCUUACAUGAUCUGAGUUCAAACCGGCGUGAGCCAGGUUGGUUUCUAUCUAUAAUUUAAUAUAAUAUUUUAGUACGAAAGGACCAAAUAUUAGAAAUAAUUUUUUAUUUAUUGAAUAUUAUUAAUUACUAUUUUGGCAGAUAAGUGCGGUGGAUUUAGAAUCUAUA
rnacentral:rRNA from 1 species